GAAGGGAUAGCUGGGUCAUAUGGUAGUUCCAUUCCUAGUUUUUUGAGGAAUCUUCACACUGCUUUCCAAAGUGGUUGUACUAAUUUGUAGUCCCACCAACAAU
rnacentral:pre_miRNA from 1 species